GACAGAAAGAAGGGCUUGUUUAGUCUAACUUUUAAAAGCAUAUGGUGUCAAGCAAAACCCUUGUCGAUGGCCUGCGGUCUGAUGGGCGUGAAGGGCUGAAAACUAGAGGCUCAAUAGACCCUCCCCAUGCUUUCUCGGGCUUGGAUGCUCAUCAACGUGUCCUGCCCAGUUAACUCUCAGCCUUUUUUUCUCCAUGCAUAUAGUUGACGUUGCAUUAGGUUACAUGAGUGUAUGCUAUGACUCUGCUGUAAAUAAUUUUAGAACUUUGGCACUUCAACUAUUAUUACCAACAAACGACACAGGAACCACCUCUCAACCAAUCAUGACACCAAUGGUCAAAACAGACCGAGAUCCACUGCUGCCCACUGCCAUUUCUUUUACAGCUAAUUGUGUACCAGCCAUUGCUCUAAGUAAGCACUUACUUAUUCCUCCUGAUAACCUUGUAGAGACUUGAAUUCCCGUUGUACAGUUCAGAAAACAGGCUUUGAGAGAGUGAGCUGGCUUUUGUACCCAGUAGGACUCUGAGACCAGAAUCCCAGCUCUUCUCAGUAGAAAAGGGGGAGACUGCUGUUCAUCUGAGCCGGAGAGGUUAAACGCCUCAUCCUUCAUGGCAGCCACGCUCCCUUCCCUCAAAUCUGUCUGCUCCCAGACUCAAGAAAUACCUUUCCAGAUGUCCCCUCUGUGAGAUCCAAUGUAGUCCCCCACAUCCAGUCCCCGAGGGGUUCUGGUUUCUGUUAUCCUGACCUUUUCAUUUCCUCUUUGGAGGUGUCCUGCCAGUUCUCAGAACCUUUCAUUUUAAAAAAAAAAACACCCUCUCCUUUCACAUCUGGUCUCAGCCUUACCUCUGAUCUCAGAUCUGCUAAUCUGUCACGCGUUUGACACUGACCAGGUAUCCACAAUGAAAACUGAUGUGUCUACUGUUCCCCCCAACUCCACUCCUGAUGCCUGGGCCUCAUGGGGAAAGAAGGAAUUGGCCAAGGGUCCUAUAGUAUCUGGUCUAACUGGAUUUUUUUUUUUCCAGGAAAGUGAGAAAGGAGGUUAAGACCUGGGGGAUUUUGUGGAACAGUGGACUGGGCUUUGAAGGGAGGAGACCCGGGUCUGCUGUUGACUCACCAUGUGACUUUGGGCAAGGACAGAAGUACCUACCUCAGAUGGUUGUUUUGAGGUCUAUGCAGCCACUGGGUCCAGGAAUUCCAAAGAGGAGCUCUGAAAGAUGUGAAAAUCUUCAAGAGUCAAAGGAAUGAAGCUAUUUGCUGGGCUCCGCAGAUAACAAGAAGGCAUGAUCAUCAUCGUCAUCAUCACCAUUAGGCGGCGCCACCUCCCAGAUUCUACAGCUCCCGUAGCCAGCUGGGAGAGCUGACAAUAGCUACUGUCUCUCUGCAAGCCAUCAGUAUAAAACUCUUUUCUGGAGCGAACAUAAACAUUUGAUGAUUUUACUGAGAAAACAGAAGACAUUCCUGCCCUACCCCCAGUCCCACAACACACACCCCCUUUGCCUCACAAUAAAUAUACUUCAUGCAUGGAAGAAGAAAGGGAGGAACACGUUUAUUCUAGACUAAUCUGAAGUUCACUACAGAUGGUUUGGCUAAUUCAGUUAAAAUUAAAUUCUUUUCUUUACCUAUCCUGUCCCCUUCACACAUGGGAAUUGUUUUUUGGAGUUAAAUUCCUUUAUAAAGUUCCUAUUGUA